rnacentral:lncRNA from 1 species
AGCUGGUGCUUUCCCACAUGGCCUUGCCUGGUAUGCCAUGCCCCCUCCUCUUGGGAACCUUAAGUAAUAAACUCUCCUUUCAAGACAGCUGUCUCCAUGUUUGUCAUCUUAUCAUACCUAAUUAAAAUAAACCAUCGGUACAUCGCAAAACACAAGCCUCUGUCACCCUGGCAGCCGGGAAUGAACAGGAGAUGCCUUCCAGGUGCCCAAGCACUGGGCUGAUAACGCUGAUGGGCACAGAACAAGCUGAAGGUGCCACCCCCAGGAAGACUGCAGGAACUCUGAGAGGAGUAGCUUGUUCAGGGCCCCCCUGCCAGGGAUUGAAAUAAUUAUCACUAACACCAUCUUCCAUCUGUAGUGUUAGAUGGAAACUGAGUAAGGACUAGAGGGGUUGGGGGUGAUUCACCAACUCUUUACCCCUCAACAGAGCAGAAGGACAGCUUCCAGAGUGUGCUUCCAGAGGGCCCUGGGCGUGUUGAGUCCUAAGAGGAAGGAACCCCCAUCAUCAUGGUACAUGCUCUGAGUCGGGGCCUGGGGACUGGCUAGAGUCAGCUGACAGCAGCUGGAGCACACGUCAGAAAAACACAACCCACUGGCCUAGAGCUCCCGUCCCUGCCCUGUCUCUAACCUGGCCUUUGAUGCCUUUUAUUUUUCUUUCCUCAAAUGCACAUUAUUAACUGCAGAUGCCCAGCUGAGAAGAUGAGAGAAAGUUAAUGAAAUUACACGAGUGCUUUGCUGAGUUCUCUUUCAAACUACAGCUUGUUAAGUUAAAACAGCAGUGUGAAGGGUGUAGCUCUCUGUGAAGUUUCUGGAUGUGGCCCUGGCCUCAGGGAGGCUUGUGGGGUGGUCAAGGAAGCCUGGCAGAAGGUAGUUCAUGGCAGAGACACCAGCCACAUGUGGGCCUUCCUGUGUGGGCCUUGCCUGUGUGGGCCUG